UUUAUGGCAGGGCUAAUCAUGAUGAGUGGCAGCUGGUUGCUUGACUCCCGCACACCUGUCUCUACUCCUGCAAUUAGACACACACACACAGACAGACAAGGAGGGGGAGAGAGCAAGAGAGAGAGAGAGAGAGAGAGAGAGAGUGGCUGCAGGCUAGAUGGAGGGGCAGGCAGAGGUGGAGGGCAUGACACUUGUAGUGUCAUCAGCUGCAGAGACUGAUUCUUCUUACACAUCCAUCAACACUGAGACCGUAUCAAUACGAAAUCUUGCCAAGGCAUUACUGUGCAGUUUUGGAUGAUAAACUUGUGUCAGACCUUCAUGCAGAUGCCAUGCUGAUCAGCAGUGUUUACAGGAAGUGAAUUGGCAGUCACCUAUGACUCAGCAGGAUUCCUGGCUGAUGAAUGAGCCAUGAGUCAGGUCUGUACUCCAGUGCAUGAGUGGGCUCAGGUGUUUGGCUUGGUUGUGCAUGAGAACACGAUUUAUUUAACAAUAUAUUCCCAUAAAUGUACAAUUUUGAUAUUUGACAUAUGACUAGACACCAAAAGCCUAGAUUAUUCUGUAUUAGUACUUUGAAAUUUUGUUUUUCUGAUAAUGGUUUGAUGUUGUUUAAAAUCAAUCUUUGAUCAAAUUCAUUGUAUCAGAAAUGGCUGCCACUUUUAGAAUUUGUCAAUUUGCAAAAAACUACUAUGCUGAAAUUAUUUAAAUACAAAAUAUGUAAGCUCCUUGACAAAAUACAGUGACAUAUGUCCUUAAAACUAAUAUUCACUGUUAAAUGACCAAGACCAGUGGUCCUUCAUCAUGACUGUCAGAAGCUCUUUUACUUUGAAAGCCCUCAAUCAAAAGGGACUUGGUAAAAAAAAGUCACAUGUCAUACAGAGAACAUGCUAAGAAAGCAGAAGUGUUGUACAUGUUUGGGACUCUGCUCAUGCAGUCAAACUGAAAUGUGAAUGACAGAAACUAUUUAUGCAAACCAUUUCUACAUCCAAUCUAGACUCCAAUCAGUUUAUCUCCCAGCCGCUCCUCACGCUGACAACUUGUUCCUCUUAUCUCCUCGACACUCAAUCUCCUGCUUCUCUAGUGGCUGGAGCAAAAAAGGCUUACCAAUUUACAUCCAGGACAGUGCUCAUCAGUUAGCUUGUUUUGAUCACUGCACUAGAUCAUUGUGACUUGCAAAAGAACCAAAUCUCUGAAAACGGCUUCUAGUAAAAGUGAAAUACACCACAGAGAGAGUUAUUUGGCUUUUGAGACAUUUCAGAACUGGUGAUAUACACUAAUAUUAACUCGAGCCCUCGUUUGUUGCCCUGACAUUGUGUUAGUCUGUGUAUAUGAGCACUAUAUGAGCGCACUUGUUGUGCAUUUCACCUGAAGCGAUGAACAGUUUUUUGGAAAGUCACAGUGUCUGUGCUCUCUCUCUCGCUACAAGAUCUCUCCAUCCCCCGAGCAGAUGCCUCAUAAUGCAAUUGUUAGUCAGGCAGCAUCCGGCACAUUACUUACUCCAUUAGUUGCAGUCAGACAGAAAGAUACAUGGAAUUUUCCAAAUUUUAUCAGAGAAAAAAAGAGUAAAAGUUUAGUAACAAUAAAUGAUGGAGAUGGUAAAGGAGAGAGUUUGGAGGCAGAGAGGAAGCAGAAAACAGGAAAUACAGUGAGUGGUUUGGGAGAGGGGUAAUUACAGAUUGCGUUUAGCAGGGAACGGAAAUUGCUUCUGCGAUAUUUUCAAGUUCUGGUUUGUGCAGAGAAUGAAAUUCAAAAACACAUUUUCAUGUAAAUUCUAUAAAACUGGAGAACAGCAUAAUUUGGCUGCCUUUAACUAGAUGAAUCUGUAUAUAUAAUGUAAUACAUAGCCUACCUGUUUUUUUUUUCUGUAUGUAAUUAUCCAAAACCUUAAAACA